rnacentral:rRNA from 1 species
GAUCCUGGCUCAGGAUGAACGCUGGCGGCAUGCCUAAGACAUGCAAGUCGUACGAAGGGGCCCAAUGAAAAGAAUUGAAGUUUGGAGUGCUUGCACAAAGAAUGGAUUUUCUUGGAUUUGGAUUUUCCCCUUAGUGGCAAACGGGUGAGUAACACGUUGGUUACCUACCUCUAAGAUGGGGAUAACAGUUGGAAACGACUGAUAAUACCGAAUGUGCUCUACGGAGUAAAGAAGCCUUUAAAGCUUCGCUUAGAGAUGGG